rnacentral:tRNA from 1 species
UCCCUUGUAGCUUAGUUGGUAAAGAAUCUGCCUACAAUGCAGGAGACCCGGGUUUGAUUCCUGGGUUGAGAA